rnacentral:guide_RNA from 1 species
ACAACAUAAGACGACGAAGAUAAAGGUCAUAGAGAUUAAUUAU